AAAACUUUUCCAAAAAAAAAAAAAAAAAAAUCUGUUCUUAUCAGUUUAAUAUCUGAUACGUCCCCUAUCUGGGGACAUAUAUUAAAUUGAUUUUUGGAAUAGGGAGAUGGAAUAGGGGCUUGCUCCGUCCACUCCACGCAAUCGACACCUGGUAUUGCAGUACCCUCCAGGAACGGUGCACCCCCU